UUAUUAGUAGAAAAGAAUAAUAUUUCAAUUUUUGGAAAACUUCAUUAGCGUUAACGAAUGUUAUUUUGGAAUUCUUAUAUUUGUAUUUUGUGCGUUCCUGCUCCCGUGAUGAAUGAUGCGUUCACUGUGCAACGGUCGCUUGCUUAGCGGCUUGCCUGUACAACGCUUUUUUGCUCGUUAUUAGCGUGAUGUGUGACACAGGCGUUGGUUUUAUAAUCGAAAGGAUUUGUCUGUAAGUUACGACAGUGCGACAGUACAAUGAGCGCCAGCGGCCGGGCGGGCGGGUGUUAUAGGAUUACAGCAGGACUACAACUGUGGAUACCGCUUUAUCAAACCUUAAGCUGCUUGGGCUCAAAGAAAAAUGUCGAUCCAUCGUGUGCUAUUAAGAACAUCUCACAUACUUUGUUGAAUGAUUCAAGAUGACCACGAGUUCUUUGGAUCUGUCGUUGCUGGGAACAGCGAUCCUGCGAAGUGGCACUGGUUGCCUACCAGCUAGCCUCUGUCCGAGCAGGCCACUUCACCGUUACUUGAAGCUGCUGCCGGCUAAAAGAAGCUGAGCAAGCUCCGUGCGCAUAUGCCCACUGAUAUAACCUGGAGAGAUGGUCACUUCUGGGCACACCAUCCUUCCUGAC